UAAGGAGUGGUACAAGGGAGUACGAAGAAUUUUGAUUUCUUAGGUGUAGGUUCGAUUCCUACUUCUUUAA
rnacentral:tRNA from 1 species